rnacentral:rRNA from 1 species
GAAUUCGCCCUUAGAGUUUGAUCCUGGCUCAGGAUGAACGCUGGCGGCGCGCCUAACACAUGCAAGUCGAACGAGCGAGAGAGAGCUUGCUUUCUCAAGCGAGUGGCGAACGGGUGAGUAACGCGUGAGGAACCUGCCUCAAAGAGGGGGACAACAGUUGGAAACGACUGCUAAUACCGCAUAAGCCCACGACCCGGCAUCGGGUAGAGGGAAAAGGAGCAAUCCGCUUUGAGAUGGCCUCGCGUCCGAUUAGCUAGUUGGUGAGGUAACGGCCCACCAAGGCGACGAUCGGUAGCCGGACUGAGAGGUUGAACGGCCACAUUGGGACUGAGACACGGCCCAGACUCCUACGGGAGGCAGCAGUGGGGAAUAUUGCACAAUGGGGGAAACCCUGAUGCAGCGACGCCGCGUGGAGGAAGAAGGUCUUCGGAUUGUAAACUCCUGUUGUUGAGGAAGAUAAUGACGGUACUCAACAAGGAAGUGACGGCUAACUACGUGCCAGCAGCCGCGGUAAAACGUAGGUCACAAGCGUUGUCCGGAAUUACUGGGUGUAAAGGGAGCGCAGGCGGGAAGACAAGUUGGAAGUGAAAUCCAUGGGCUCAACCCAUGAACUGCUUUCAAAACUGUUUUUCUUGAGUAGUGCAGAGGUAGGCGGAAUUCCCGGUGUAGCGGUGGAAUGCGUAGAUAUCGGGAGGAACACCAGUGGCGAAGGCGGCCUACUGGGCACCAACUGACGCUGAGGCUCGAAAGUGUGGGUAGCAAACAGGAUUAGAUACCCUGGUAGUCCACACUGUAAACGAUGAUUA